UACGUAGGGUGCGAGCGUUGUCCGGAAUUAUUGGGCGUAAAGGGCUCGUAGGCGGUUUGUCGCGUCGGGAGUGAAAACACUGGGCUUAACUCAGUGCUGGCUUUCGAUACGGGCAGACUAGAGGUAUGCAGGGGAGAACGGAAUUCCUGGUGUAGCGGUGAAAUGCGCAGAUAUCAGGAGGAACACCGGUGGCGAAGGCGGUUCUCUGGGCAUUACCUGACGCUGAGGAGCGAAAGCGUGGGGAGCGAACAGG
rnacentral:rRNA from 1 species